CUCUCAGGGACAUUCUCUUGGCCGGAUGAUGUGCCGGAGGUAGAAGCUGAUGGAUUCGGCUGUCCGAGAAAGGUACUCGCGUAAGAGUUUUUAGGCGCAAGGUUCCUAAGUCUCUGUCUACCGCCAGCCAUAGCAAUAUCGUCAAUCUGGAAAAAAAAAAGAUGGUUAUAAACAAUUCAAAUUUUUUAUAUAAAAAUAAUCUAAACCUAUUCUAAUUUCAUCAUAAUCUAACUCCAUCCUAAUCUACUUCCAUCCUAAACUAAUUCCAAACCCA
rnacentral:lncRNA from 1 species